GAACCUCCCGUACCCGCAAACCCGCUUCGCUUCCCCCUUCCGCAGAACCCUAAAAGAGCGUUCAAGAAUCACCCACCACCGCCUCUCACCAUCUCGUCCCCACCGGUCACCACCGCUACCGCACUCAAGCCUUCAGACACCCGCCGCCGUCUAACAUCCACCAAAACCGCGGUUCGAUUUGGUUGCGGCAGAACCCUAAACCCAAGGAUGAACUCCAACAGUUUAGGGAGCAAUAUGUUUGUCAAUGGAUUUUGGAUGUUGCGAAUGUGCGAAGGAUUAAAGUGUUGCAAGAUUUAGGCAUUUUGUAAAUAUUUUGGACAAUAGUGAUUUGUUGUUUGUUUAGAACUUUUAGAAUAUGUAUUCAUGCUGAAUCUGUAAUUAUUUUCUUAGGAAUGUUGAAGGAGAAGUACUUGUUACA